AUGGGCUCGAGUGUGACGUGUGGGGUAGGACCCGGGUCCAGUAGCUAUAGGGACAGGGCGCGUGUCUGCACUAGGGCACGCUGUGAGGGUUGAAGCUGGUGGGAGGUCCAGGGGGAGGGACCGGGGUGUAUAAGGGUUCAAGGGGCAGGGCCCGGACUGUAAAAAGGGUGUUCGUGUUGGGAGCAAGAUGGUUAUGGGGACUCAGAAUUGGGUAAAGUAAGUGGGAAGAAAUGGGGUACAGCGAGGAGGAGGGUACGUUGAAUAGGAGCCUAGAGGUUGGGCCCGGUUUGCUUUGCCCUGGCGGAGAUGGGGGGUGCGGUGUCAGACCUUCGCAGUUUCCUGGGGUCCGCCUGAGGCUGGUCGGGGACUGCGCGCUAGGACCUGGGUCCUAUAGGACAUGGCGGGAAUGGUGGCGUCCCGGAACUUUACCGCCCACCCCCCUUCCAAAGAAAUCCCCCACGGACUCUGAGAUGUGAAAGGAGGGUCCUGGUGAAAUAGUAUUAGUUGGAAAGGUUCUUUCGGUAGUGGUGAGUGGGAUAAUGAAUGAUGCUGCUCUGAAAUAAAGUGUGGGGUGGGGGCGGGAGAGAGAAAUUCUUGAGAAAAAAAACCUAAGAUGUGCGUAUCGAGUUGGAAGAAGGGGGUGUGCGCUAAGUUCACGUUUCUUUCCAGUUUCAUUCAAGUGUAGAAUUCCUUUACGGUGUACUUAUGAAAUUAUAUAUGCGGUGUAAAAUCAGUUUAGAUCAUACAGUGAAAGAAUGUACAGUACGACAUUUAAAUCCUCCACGAAUGUAAUUUAAAAACUAAGAAAAGUGUUUCUACUGCAGCAGCACAAGGCUGAACACUAGGGAUAGUUUUAGUUACUUGAAUAUAAAAACCUAGUGUUCCGAAAGUGUGUCUUUUCAGGUUGUUUGCCUUUUAAGAAAUGGAUGCAGUUUUAUUUUUAGGAGACAGAAAGAGUUUUGAAUAUCCGUCAGUCUGGAAAUAAAAGGAGUCUUCCGGGAGUUAAAAAUCACUGAGAGGCAAAACAUUUACUCUCUGAGUCUCAAGGACUGUUUUCUAGAGACAGGUUUGGAUCACUAUGCUGUUAACUCUUAUUUCUAGUGAAAACAGUGGCAUCAAUUCAGGCAUAAAAAAUAAUUUGUUCAUUUCAAUAUACAGAUACAAGCUUUCUGAUAAUUAUUUCUCACUAUCUUUUGUAGGUAUAAAUUGCAAAGGCAUAACCUCUCUUUUUAUUUAUUUAUUUUUUUUGAGAAUUAACGUUUUAUUUGACGGACUUGCUGAGGACUUAAGCCUGGAAGACAGCCUCUCAGAUGACUCUGAGGGACUGCUCUGAAGAUGUAAGGGAGGAGCCAGGAUAUAUAGGAGUUUUUGCAAGAAACCAGGUAGUAGGAACAUCAAAAGAUCAUUGUUAAUUAAAGAAAAACAGGGACUUUCCUGGUGGUCCAGUGGUUAAGACUCCAGGCUUCCAUUGCAGGAGGUGUGGGUUCCAUCCUUGAUAACCUCUCUUUUGAUUAUGUAACUGGCUUUCUCCAUGCUGAGGUUCACAAAUUCAUUAAUUAGAAUAGUGGAUUUUAAUCCUUCUAGAGCUAGCCUUGAUGUGGUUAGUUAUUGAACCUAUUCAUUUGAUAUAUGUUAGACUAAAACUUUUAAUUUGUAAUGUUAGUAGCUAACCUUUAAAGUCGAAAUGCUUUUCUGAGGCAAGAUAAAGCUUUAUGUGGUUGAGUCCAAAAGAUUUCUCCAUGAAUCCAUUAAGGAGCUUUACUGAGUUCCUAUUAUGUGUAGAGUACUGUGUAAGGCACUGCAGGGGGGAAAAAAGAUUAAUUCAUUCAUUUAUCCCUUCAACAAACGUUUAUUGAGACCUAUUUUGUUUCUGAUUACUAAGUCUCCAGGAUACAAAUAUAAGUAAGCCUUGCUUUUUGCCUUGGAAUUGCUCAGAGCCUAGGAAGGGAGAGAAAUAGAGUAACAAAUCAUUACAUUGUAGUAAACACAAUAUAUAUGUGAACACAGGCUUAUGAAACAAGGUUCUGGCCCUGAGGAGUUUACAUAAUAGUUGACAAGAUUAAAAUGGAAGAAAUUAUUUAAAAAAAUAUUAAGCAAAUUCUAAACUAUGCUGCAUCAAUAAAACACAUUACGUUUUUCAGAAGAGAUAAAAUUAGAAUGGAAGCUUGAGGAGAAAAUUCACAGAUCAGUUCAUAAUUUAAUAGUGUUUUUAAAGUACUCUUAAAUAUCACUGAACAUUUUUUUUUUUUUAAUUUAUUUAUUUUUGGCUGCGUUGGGUCUUCGUUGCUGCGCGCGGGCUUUCUCUAGUUGCAGUGAGCGGGGGCUUCUCAUUGCGGUGGCUUCUCUUGUUGCGGAGCACGGGCUCUAGGCACAUGGGCUUCAGUAGUUGUGGCUCGCGGGCUCUAGAGCGUAGGCUCAGUAGUUUUGGCGCAUGGGAUUAGUUGCUCCGCGGCAUGUGGGAUCUUCCCGGACCAGGGCUCGAACCCGUGUCCCCUGCAUUGGCAGGCGGAUUCUUAACCACUGCGCCACCAGGGAAGCCCCUGAACAUUCUUAAGUCAAUAAUAAUGAUAAUAAUAAGCAUAAAUGCUAACAUUCAUUGAUUGAUUAUUAAUGUCCUAGGCACAUUAUUUCAUUUUAUUUAUUUAUCCCCCCACACCCCCAAUUAUCUCAUUUUAUCUUCACAGCACUCUGCUAGUCAGCUGGUACUAAUACUUCAAUUUUAAACGUAAGAAAACUGAAGCUUAAAAAAUUAAGGAAGUUGCAGAAGAUCAUAGAGCUAGUAAAUGGCAGAUUAGGGACUGGAGUUGGAAAUAUAUGUGACUGGUAAUCUAAGCAAGAUUCCUUUCUUUUGCAGUAAGGGGGCCUUGGAAUGGGGGUAGGGGGCCAGUCAUUGAACGUGGAAUUGGUCAGAAGAUCAGAAUUCAAUCUCUGUGUCUCUUUAUUCAUAGAGUUUUCUCCCUCAAAUAUUGACACUACAUAUGAGGAACUAAUUUGAAUAUUAGCAUGAUGCUGAAUAUGAGAACAUUUCCAUUGCUGAUAGCUGCUGAUAAAUUCCCUGUCCUGUUAAGGCCUGGGUGUGCCUGCAAGUGAAAGCAUCAACUAAAAGGUAAGAGAGGGCAGAAGCUGACAAGGAAAAUUUUCCUGACAAGGAAAAUGUUCUGGAGAAAUUGCUGAACAUUGGGAAGAGUAGGAAUGGCUGGGUAUGGAGUUAGGAAAAUCACAUGAAGUACUAAAAGAGAUAAUUUAGCUGCUAGUAAAACACCAUUGUUCCUAGAAGAAAUAAUACUGAAAAUAAAUUCUAAUGUCCACGUUAAUGCCGAACCAGUCACCAACUUGAUCACAUCUUCACUAAAGUUUUUUUUUUUUUUUUUUUUUUUUGGUGUAUGCGGGCCUCUCACUGUUGUGGCCCCUCCCGUUGCGGAGCACAGGCUCCGGACGCGCAGGCUCAGCGGCCAUGGCUCACGGGCCCAGCCGCUCCGCGGCACGUGGGAUCCUCCCGGACCGGGGCACAAACCCGCGCCCCCUGCAUCGGCAGGCAGACUCCCAACCACUGCGCCACCAGGGAAGCCCUUCACUAAAGUUUUUAAGUUGGUCUAUCAAUGUUAAAAAUAUGAACAUUUUUUUAAUGUUUAAUGAGAAUUAAUGGGAAAGUAGAAUUCAGUUUGAGGUUCAGUUUUCAGUCUUUCCCCCCAGAGAAUGCAUCUAUAGAAAAGGCUAUCCAAAUUCUAUUUAUUUUUGUUUUGAGGUUCACUUUUCAGUCUUUCCCCCCAGAGAAUACAUCUGUAGAAAAGGCUAUCCAAAUUCUAUCUGUUUUUUUUUGGGGGACAGUGCCAUAUAGUAAAUUUGUGAAUUCCUGUACUUCUCUUUCUUUAUUGAUGGUUUAUAUCAGACACAUACAUGAAUGUAGGAUUGUUGUAUGUAUAAAAAUGUUUUAAAUUUUGUGUUACUCUUUCAGAGUUUUCCUUAUUUCAGUUUGGCUAUGUAGGCAAGUGGCUUUGGCCACACCGCGCAGCAUGAGGAACUUCCCGAGCAGGGAUCAAACCUGCGCCCCCUGCAGUGAAAGCACGGAAUCUUAACCACUGGACCACCAGGGAAGUCCAAACCAGUGGCUUUUAAGAAAAACCUAUUACAUUUGUUUUGCAAAUAGAAAAUAUAGUCCUUUCAUUGUUGGUAUGCAACUAAUGAAGUUUCUGACAUUGACAUUUCAGUAUUUUAACACUUUCCCUUAACAGUACCUUCCUGUACCACAUUGAAAGGAAGAAACAUGUUCCAAAAAGCACAUUUUUCAAAUAACAUUUCUUUUUUUUUUUUUUUUUUUGGCUGCACUGCAGGUCUUGCGGGAUCUUACUUCCCCCACCAGGGAUUGAACCCAGGCCCCGGCAGUGAAAGCGCUGAGUCCUAACCACUGAACCGCCAGGGAAUUCCCUCAAAUAACAUUUGAGUUUUUAAAUGAAAACAGAAGCUGAGGAUAAGACUGUAUUGGACUCUUGCAAAAUAUAUUUUUGUCAGUCUUAUUCUGACCUGUGUAUAGAUUCAUUUUUUCCUAAGACAUGAAAAGUAGGCUUUUAAUAUAAAGCUGGUGGUAAGUCAGUGACUUCCCAGAAGAAAAAAAUGUUCAUUUUCUCCUGAGAAGAAAAUUUGGAUAAAUACUUUUUAGUUAAUACAUUAGUUUCAUAGUAGGUUUGUAGAAAAAUUCACUUACUAUAGAAACAGAGCUUUCUCUUUGUAUGUCAUUGUCUCAUUUCUGACCUGGGCUCAGCUCUUGUUUCCCUGUGCAGAUCCACUUCCUUUGGUGGUGCAUCCUGUCCUGGGUGUUGGCCCCAGUCAAAGCUGUAUGGUGCCAAAAAAAAACAAGUUCCUUGAUCCUUUUUUGCUAUUUCAGCCUCUUAUUUAUCUUUACUUGUGGUCUUUGAAGACCAGAAAGGUGUUUGUGAACAAUUGAGAAUUACAUCAUGGGUGUUCCUACAGUGUUGGGGAACACCAGAGAGAGGCAAUAUCAUUUUAAUCUUGGGUUUUUCCCCUUCUUCGGGCCCACCAGGUCUAAGGAAACUUCUAGUUAUUUAACAGAAUUGAAAUAAGAAAUUUUGUAAUUACAAAGGUAGGUUUUAGACACCUCAGAGUUACAAAGUAUUUAUUGAUAUUGAGAAUACACGUUUAAAUUAUUCAUGCUUUAUCAGUCAACACCAAUGUUUAAAUCACAAAUUGCCACAUAGCAAGUUAUUUUGGGUAGGAAAUCUGUAUGAACCAAACUCUGGUAAUGAUUUUAAUUGGGCAAAGUAUAGAAGUCUGAUUUAGAGGUGUCUUUUCCUAUGCCACCUCUAAAAAUUCAUGAAAAGAAACAACUCCCUUUAAAAAUUGUACUUGUUCUUAUUUCACAAUGACUUUCAUCCUUUUUAUGCCUUAUUUCAAUAGAUAGUUACUAAGCAUCUGCUUUUUUUAAUGUAUAAAGUGAAUUUUAAAAAAAAUAAUUUUAUUUUUGGCUGUGUUGGGUCUUCAUUGCUGUGCGCAGGCUUUCUCUAGUUGCGGCGAGCGGGGGCUACUCUUCGUUGCAGUGUGCGGGCUUCUCAUUGCAGUGGCUUCUCUUGUUGUGGAGCAUGGGCUCUAGGUGCAUGAGCUUCAAUAGUUGUGGCACGCGGGCUCAGUAGCUGUGGCUUGCAGGCUCUAGAGUGCAGGCUCAGUAGUUGUGGUGCAUGGGCUUAGUUUCUCUGCGGCAUGUGGAAUCUUCCCAGACCAGGGCUCGAACCCGUGUCCCCUGCAUUGGCAGGCGGAUUCUUAACUACUGUGACACGAGGGAAGUCCCUGGUUUUUAAAAAAAAUUAUUUAUUGUAUUUUUGGCUGCGUUGGGUCUUUGUUGCUGCGUGCAGGCUUUUCUCUAGUUGAGGCGAGUGGGGGCUACUCUUUGUUGCGGUGCGCGGGAUUCUCAUUGUGGUGGCUUCUCUUGUUGUGGAGCAUGGGCUCUAGGUGUGAAGGCUUCAGUAGUUGCAGCAUGAGGGCUCAGUAGUUGUGGCUUGCAGGCUCUAGAGUACAGGCUCAGUAGUUGUGGCGCACGGGCUUAGUGUUCUGCAGCAUGUGGGAUCUUCCUGGACCAGGGAUUGAACCCGUGUCCCCUGCAUUGACAGGCGGAUUCUUAACUAUUGCACCGCCAGGGAAGCCCUAAGUAUCUGCUUUUAAAAUAAGUUUUAUUAAGGUAUAAUUCACAUAUCAUACAAUUCACCUAUUUAACGUGUAUAGUUCAAAAGUUACUAUAUGUGCAGAGUUGUGCAACUGUCACUUCAAUCAAUUUUAUUACAUUUUAUCAGUCCAGAAGGAAACUAUAUAUCCAUAAGCAGUCAUUCUCCAUCCCAACCCCUCCCUCCCUUGGCAGCUACUAAUUUAUUUCUCUCUGUAUAGAUUUACCUAUUCUGGACAUUUCAUAUAAAUGGAAUCAUAAAAUACCAAUAUGUGGUCUUUUGUGACUGACUUCUUUCAUUCAGCAUAGUAUUUUCAAGGUUCAUCCAUGUUGUGGCAUGUAUCAAUGUUUUAUUCUUUUUAUGGCCCCCAAAAAUAUUCCAUAUUCCAUUAUAUGAAUAAAGCACAUUCUUUUUAUCUGUUCAUCAGUUGAGACAUUUGGGUUCUUUCUGCUUUUUAGCUAUUACGAAUGAGAUAAAUGAGGUGCUUAGCCCACAAAAUAAGGAUACUAAGGGUUGUGCAAGUGCAACAUUUAAGGAGGCAGUCACUUACUCUCAGGGUUGUGCAAGUGCAGGGUUACUUGAUUGACCUUGAGAGUGAGUGCCUUCUUAAAUUUUGUACCUGGGAGCCUCCAGUGUCCCCCCAUAGUCUUGGCAGUGGAUUGGCUUUCCUUGAGCUUCACUGAAUAUCAACCACCUAAAAACACUGAGUAAGAAGGUAUGCUUUACUCUUUGUCACUCUCCUGUUCAGUAGCGUUCAGUGAUCUGCCAUUGACUAUCAAAGACUAACCUGUGAUUUGUGAUUCUAGUUUUAUUUCUAGUUAGAUUUCCACUGUCUUAUUUCAGCCAGUGUAAACUACUUUCUAUUCCCUAACAAGUCAAAAGCUUUUCUAUUAUCCUGAGUUUGCCAAGUGCCAUUUUUCACCUGGAACUGAUACAUUGAACAGAACCUAUUUGUGGUGGCAUUGAUGAGGGUGAACCACUAUUUGAGCUUAUGAAACUAAUCUUGUUCAGAUUCUAGUUCCCAAGUAUUAGACAUAAUCUCCUUCCUCUCUAGAUCACAGGUAUUUUUCAGGAAACUAGUUAGGAACUUUCUGACUAGAUUUCUUACUCAGAAUGCAGAAAGAUGUGUGUCCCUAGUCAGGACAGAUUCCAUAGUUAUGGUUUAAAUUUUUCUCUUUUUUUUGUUUUGGCCACGCAGUGCAGCAUGUGGGUUCUUAGUUCCUUGACAAGGGAUUGAACCUGUACCCCCUUAACCACUGGACCACCAGGGAAGUCCCCAAAUUGUUAUUUUUCCUACAUUUCCUACAGUAUCCUCAAAUUGCUUUGCUUAGUUCUUGCUGAGCAGUGCCCAAGGGGAUUACUAACGUUAUGCAACUGAUUUGUUUGUGCCAAUCUCUGUGCCAAUAAAGCCAUGCAAAUUUGAGGCCAUUAAAAGUAAAAUCAAGUCAUAGUAAUGCAUGUACAUUAUUUAAAAGUGAAAUGAUACUUUAAGGCUUAUAAGGAAAAACAUCUUUCUUCUGCUCUACUCUUCCUUACCGACUCCUGAUUCUUGUUCUUCAGAGCACUUUUUUUUUUUUUUCUUUUGCAGUACACGGGCCUCUCACUGUUGUGGCCUCUCCCGUUGUGGAGCACAGGCUCCGGACGCGCAGGCUCAGCGGCCAUGGCUCACGGGCCCAGCCGCUCCGCGGCAUGUGGGAUCUUCCUGGACCGGGGCACGAACCCGUGUCCCCUGCAUCGGCAGGCGGACUCUCAAUCACUGCGCCACCAGGGAAGCCCCAGAGCACUUUUAAAUGUUGUCUUUUUUUUCUUUUUUGUAUUUACCUUCAUAUAUAUUUCUAAAUAGUAUGCUUAAACUGCUAUUUCCUACCUCCACCCCCAUACACACACACUUUCUCUCCCAAUGUAAGUAUAACAUUUUUUUUUUUUUUUUUUUUUUUUGCAGUACGCGGGCCUCUCACUGUUGUGGCUUCUCCCCUUGCGGAGCACAGGCUCCGCAGGCUCAGCGGCCAUGGCUCACGGGCCCAGCCGCUCCACGGCAUGCGGGAUCUUCCCGGACCGGGGCACAAACCCGUUUCCCCUGCAUCGGCAGGCGGACUCUCUACCACUGCGCCACCAGGGAAGCCCACUUUUACUUUUUUUUUUUUUUUUUUGGUUAAAUUAGUUGUGGUAAGCAGAAUAAUAGCCCUCUCGAAUAUAUCUGUGUCCUUAUCCUCAGAACCUGUAUGUUCCCUCAUGGCAAAAAGGAAUUAAGGUUGCUAAUCAGCUGAUUUUAAAAUAGGGAGAUUAUCCUGUAUUAUCCAGAUGGGUUCAAUGUAAUUAAAAGGAUUGUUAAAAGUGGAAGAGGGAGGCAGAAGAGAUGCUAUGUGAGAAGGACUCAAUCUCUGUUUCUGGUUUUGAAUAUGGAGGAAAGAGGACCGUAAGCAGAGGCAUGCAGGCAUCCCUUAAGCAUCUGGAAAAGUCAAGGAAAGAUUCUGCAAUAGAACCAGAAGAGAACAGUAGCCUUACUACCACCAUGAUUAUAGCCCAGUGAGAGUGUGUUGGGACUUUUAACCUCAGAAGUGUAAGAUAAAAAAUUUGUGCGUUUUUUUAAAAAAAUUAAUUUUUGGCUGCGUUGGGUCUUCGUUGCUGUGCGCGGGCUUUCUCUAGUUGCAGCGAGCGGGGCUACUCUUCGUUGCAGUGUUCAGGCUUCUCAUUGCGGUGGCUCCUCUUGUUGCGGAGCACGGGCUCAGUAGUUGUGGCUCGUGGGCUCUAGAGCGCAGGCUCAGUAGUUGUGGUGCACGGGCUUAGUUGCUCCACAGCAUGUGGGAUCUUCCUGGACCAGGGCUCGAACCCAUGUCCCCUGCAUUGGCAGGCGGAUUCUUAACCACUGUGCCACCAGGGAAGACCUCCAUGUAAAUUUUAGAAUAAGCUUGUUUAGGUCUAAAGAAGGCCUUUCUGGGAUUUUUAUAGGAAUUGCAUUAAACUUAUAGAUUAAUUUGGGGAGAAUUGACAUUUUUAUCACGUUGAGUCUUCCAAUCAAUGAACAAGCCUGUUUAUUUAUGUCAUCUUUGAUUUCUUUCAUCAAACUUUUAGCAUACAGACCCUGUACAUGUUUUUGGAAAGUGUAUAUACUUAAGUAUUUAGUUUUUUUUACAGUGAUUGUAAAUGGUAAUGUGUUUUUUAUUUUGUUUUCUGCAUUUCUGUUGUUAGUACAGUUCACCCUCCAACAGUACAGGUUCGAACUAUGCAGGUACACUUAUAAAUGGAUUUGUAAAAAUAAAUGCAUACUGUAGUACUACAUAAUCCUCUGUUGGUUGAAUCCGAGGUUAUGGAACUGCCCAUACUGGAGGGUGACUGUAAAGUUAUAAGUGGAUUUUCCUCUUGCUUAGGGGGUUCUGCACCCUGACCCCUGUGUUGUUCAAGGGUCAACUGUAUAUAGAAAUGCAAUUGGAACUUCCCUGGUGGUCCAGUGGUUAAGAACCCACCUUCCAAUGCAGGGGAUGCGGGUUUGAUACCUGGUCAGGGAACUAAGAUCCUACAUGCCGUGGGGUAACUAAGCCCAGGCAACACAACUAGAGAAGCCCACGCCCCGCAGCGAAGACCCAGCGCAGCCAAAAAAAAAAGAAAAAAGAAAUGCAUUUGAUUUUUUUGGUGUUAAUCUUGUAUCCUGUGGCCUUGUUAUUACUUCUAGGAGUGUUUUUGUAGAUUCCUUGGGAUUUACUAUGUAGACAUUAUGUCAUUUGCAAAUAGAGUUUUAUUUCUCCCUUUCCAAUCUGUAUGCCUUUUAUUUCUCUUUCUUGCCUAUUACAGUGCCUAGAACUUCUAAUAUUAUGUUGAUUAAGAGUAGUGAGAGCAGACAUCCUUGCUUUGUUCCCAACCUUAGGGGGAAAGUAUUUAGUAUUUCACCUUUAAGUGUGAUGUUAGCUGUAGGUUUUUGUUUUUGUUUUUUUGUUUUUUGGCUGUGCUGGGUCUUUUGUUUUGGUUCGUGGGUUCUUCUUUGUUGCAGUGCACGGGCUUCUCUAGUUGUGGCAUGCAGGCUCCAGAGUGUGCGGGCUCAGUAGUUGCGGCUUGUGGGCUUAGUUGCCCUGUGGCAUGUGGGAUGUUAGUUCCCCAACCAGGGAUUAAACCUGCGUCCCCUGCAUUGGAAGGUGGAUUCUUAACCACUGGACCACCAGGGAAGGCCCCUGUAGGUUUUUGUGUAGAUGCUUUUUUAUCAAGUUAUAAGCACAUAUUUUAAAAAUUUCGGGUGAAAUCAUAUUUCUUCUGCAGUGCUUCUCCAGAUUCUCCCAAGCUAAUAUUUACCCUCCAUGUUUCAACAGCAUUCUGCUUAUAUUACUGUUACUGAACUCUUUCUUAAUUGUUUUCUGGUUGAUUUGUGUUCAUGCAUCCCUCCUUCAGACACAUACACCCUCUAGGCUAUGAGGGCAGAUGCUGUUUUACUAAUUUUCAUAUCACUAGUUUAGAACAGUGUGCCUGGCACCAUUGAAUUGUUUGAUUGAGUGAGGGAGUGAAUGAAUGAGUAAUUGAACAAGAGAAUAAAAAACUCUCUCUCACAGGGCUUAAGAUAGUUUUUAGUGAUAAGGGUAUGAACUUUGGAGCCAGACAGCAUUCAAAUCUCAGCCCUUCAAUUUAAUACUACUGUGCAAAGUUGGUCAAAUUAUGAAAUAUUUCUGAACCUUAGCUCUCUUAUCUGUGAAAUUAGUAUAAUAAUAACCUACUUGAACAAAUUAAGUGAAAUAAUAAAUGUUAAUUCUCAGUGCAGUAGCUAUCAUGUUGUAGGCACUCAAAUUUUAGUUUUCUUUCCUUUUUUUCUUCAUUGAACUGUAUUUAAUGAUAGUGAUUGUAAAAUCACUUUGUGAACCGCAGAAAGUUUUUUCAAAUACUGUUCAUGUUUGUGUUAAAAACAGUCAAACUGGUCUUCCCUGGUGGCGCAGUGGUUGAGAGUCCGCCUGCCGAUGUAGGGGACGCGGGUUCGUGCCCCAGUCUGGGAAGAUCCCACAUGCCGCGGAGCGGCUGGGCCCGUGAGCCAUGGCCGCUGAGCCUGCGCGUCCAGAGCCUGUGCUCCGCAAAGGGAGAGGCCACAACAGUGAGAGGCCCGCGUACCGCCAAAAACAACAACAAAAAAAACAACAACAAAAAACAGUCAAACUAAUUUUGAUUAUGUUGGUUUAAGGGGAAAAAAUAGGGACAUGAGAAAAUGGAGAAAGUUUGAAUAACUUUUGUUGAGCAAUAUAAUGUGCCAGCCACUAUGCUCAACACUUUACAUAUAGUAAUCCAUUUAAUCUUUACAAUAACCUAUGAAGCACAUACUUCCUCUGAAGGAUUAUUUCUUAGUUUUUUAAUUGUAGUUUCCUUACUUCCACCCUUUCUAAAUAAGCCUCAGGAAUGGGGCUAAUACACUUUAAUGCAGAUUUCAAACUUUGUAUAGAAUAUGAAGAAGAAUAAUUAUUUUAUUUCUAAGCUUUCAUUUUAGUAUUUGGGGACUGUGUACUUUAGGUUAAGUCUUUGUUUUUUCAGCAAACCUUAGUGGUGAUAUUUAUAGGCAUUGCAGGUUUGGUUCCAGACCACCACAAUAAAGAGAAUACUGCAAUAAAGUGACUCACCUGAAUUUUUAUAUCCCACUGCAUAUAAAAAUUAUAUUUAUACUGUAGUCUACUAAGUGUGCAAUAGCAUUAUGUCUAAAAAAUGUACUUUUUUUUUCCCACGCUCCGAGGGCUGCAGUAUCUUAGUUCCCUGACCAGGGAUUGAGCCCGGGGCCGCAGCAGUGAAAACGCCAAGUCCUAACCACUGGACCGUGAGGGAACUCCCAAAAAUGUACAUAUCUUAAUUAAAAAAUACUUUAUUGUUAGAAAAUGGUAACCAUCAUCUGAGCCUGUAAUGAUUUGUAAUCUUUUUGCUGGUAGAGAGUCUUACCUCAGUGUUUAUGGCUGCUGACUGAUCAGGGUGACAGUUGCUGAAGCUUAGGGUGGUGGUGAUGGUUUCUUAAAAUAAGAAAACAAUGAAGUUUGCCACAUCAAUUGACUCUUCCUUUUAUGAAUGACUUCUCUGUACUAUGCAGUGCUGUUUGAUAGCAUUUUACCCACAGUAGAAUUUCUUUCAAAAUUGUCAAUCCUCUCAAACCCUGCCACUGCUUUAUCAACUAAGUUUAUGCAAUAUUCUAAAUCCUUUCUUGUCAUUUCAGCAAUCUUCACAGCAUGUUCACCAGGAGUAGAUUCCACCUCAAGAGACCACUUUCUUUGCUCCUCCAUAAGGAGUAACUCCAUAUCUGUUCAAGUUUUAUCACGAACCCCUCAAAGUCAUCUAUGAAGGUUGGGAAUAAACCUCUUCCAAACUCCUGCUGAUAUUGAAAUUUGACCUCUUCCCAUGAAGCACAAAUAUUCUUUUUUUUUUUUUUUGGCCACGCUACGUGGCUUGUGGGGUUUUCGUUCUCCAACUAGGGAUCGAACCCGGGCCCUUGGCAGUGAGAGCAUGGAGUCCUAACCACUGGACCGCCAGGGAUUUACCCACAAAUAUUCUUAACAGCAUCUAGAAUGAUGAGUCCUUUCCAGAAGGUUUUCAAUUGACUUUGCCCAGAUCCAUCAGAGGAAUUACUAUCUAUUGCAGCUAUAGCCUUACGAAAUGUAUUUCUUAAAUAAUAAUGAAGCUGCACACCCAGAUAGGGACUUGAACCCACUGUCUUUUAAUUGUGAUCACACACUUGGUCUCAGGACUUAAUGAAGCUCAGGUUCUUUUUCUUUUUUCUUAAUAAAUUUAUUUAUUAUUUUU